UACGAAGGGGGCUAGCGUUGCUCGGAAUCACUGGGCGUAAAGGGUGCGUAGGCGGGUCUUUUAAGUCAGGGGUGAAAUCCUGGAGCUCAACUCCAGAACUGCCUUUGAUACUGAGGAUCUUGAGUUCGGGAGAGGUGAGUGGAACUGCGAGUGUAGAGGUGAAAUUCGUAGAUAUUCGCAAGAACACCAGUGGCGAAGGCGGCUCACUGGCCCGAUACUGACGCUGAGGCACGAAAGCGCUGGGGAGCAAACAGG
rnacentral:rRNA from 1 species